GUGCUGUCUUUGGUAGCACAUGUACUAAAAUCGGGAUAAUUCAGAUUAGCAUGAGCCUUGCCCAAGGGUGGCACGUAAAAUCAUGUAGCGUUCCACAUUUUA